GACGUAGGGGGCCAGCGUUGUUCGGAAUUACUGAGUGUAAAGGGUUCGUAGGCGGUGUGGCAAGUCGGGAGUGAAAUCUCUGGGCUCAACCCAGAGACUGCUUCCGAAACUGCUGUGCUUGAGUGUGAGAGAGGCUCGUGGAAUUGCAGGUGUAGCGGUGAAAUGCGUAGAUAUCUGCAGGAACACCCGUGGCGAAAAGCGGCGAGCUGGAUCACUACUGACGCUGAGGAAACGAAAGCUAGGGGAGCAAACAGG
rnacentral:rRNA from 1 species